UACGUAGGGUGCGAGCGUUAAUCGGAAUUACUGGGCGUAAAGCGUGCGCAGGCGGUUCGUUAUGUCCGAUGGGAAAGCCCCGAGCUCAACUUGGGAAUGGCAUUGGAAACUGGCGGGCUGGAGUGUGGCAGAGGGGGGUGGAAUUCCACGUGUAGCAGUGAAAUGCGUAGAGAUGUGGAGGAACACCGAUGGCGAAGGCAGCCCCCUGGGCCAACACUGACGCUCAGGCACGAAAGCGUGGGGAGCAAACAGG
rnacentral:rRNA from 1 species